GGUCGCUGAAGCGGUGGCCGGCGACGACCCUUCUCGCCCGGCGCUACUGAGGGGAGAAGGAGGAGGGCGGGGAAGGCGGGUGAGAGGCAAGGGGUGUUGCGUGCGAGAAGGCGGCGGUGCGAGGGCAGGCAGGUGUGGACAACCGCUCGGUUUUUUCCCCCCUUCAGCCAGUCAGGAGGUGCGCCAGCCUCUGCUUGUCCGCGCCCCUCGCCAUGUGCUUCUCCCGUGCUUCUCUUCCUUGCCGCUCCCCGAGGAUAAGGAGCUGCGCCCCACCGCCCCCUUCCCCUUGCGCCCGAGCCGUCUCCACCUCCCGCCGUUUGCUCCGGCUAUUGCGGUUCGCCCGACGUCCCCUUUCUUCUGAACGGUCUGUCUCCGCGCGCACACCCCUUCUUCGCCUCCUGGUCCCAUUUAUGAAGCGCCUUCGCCAUCACGUGUUUAAUGUGCCUUUGUCCUGUCGUUGGCAGCCGCGGGAGCAGAGCCCGGCAAAGGCGGCGGCGGCGACGACGAGCGAGGGCGGGAGAAGCGGGGGAGGAACAGGGAAAGAGAGACCUGAGCGCCAAAAACUUUGCGCGUGCGGCAGGAAAGGGGGCAACAACGGCUUUGGGCAAACGGGCCCGGCAGCUUCACGGGGCAACAACGCUUUGGGCAAACGGGCGGCAAACGGGCCAGCUUCUGCCCCAAAGAGAGCGUGGGGUUGGCUGACGAGAACGGGGCGGUGGGCUACCAGGCUGGCCACUAGGGAACGGGACGUUGAUGGAGUGCUGAAGGGGAGAACGUUUCGGUCAACUUGUAGGGCAAGGAGAGGCUGCCCGGCAUACAAGGCCGUUUGUGUGUGUGUGUGUGUGUGUAUAUAUCUCCGCGUAGUUUUUGGAGGGCGAGCGAAAACGCGCGCCUUUGAGCUCUGAGGAGAGGAACCCCUUGGGGAACAGGACUAUCAUUCGAGGCUUCGCGCACCGGCUCCCGCCCAAUUCUCUCGGAGAGCUAGGCGGCAUAGCACCAGUUGGCCGUGCAGCUCGGUGCCUUGAAUUCACGAACACUACCACAACGCCCAUUUUAAAGGCCGAGGCGGGGCUGACGGCGUCGUUCUUCGCGAAAUACGAGCUCGGUUGCUCGUCGUUUGGGGAAGCACCCGGGCCGUCCCGCAUAAGUGGCGCGUUCGUUAUGGGCCGUCGUGGAAGCUCUUGGAGCCUCGCAGGAUCUCCCUUUAGGGCAGCCUUCCUCCACUUGACGUCCUCCAGAUGCGUUAGGAUCACGAGUCCCAGAAUUCGCGGCGGGGUUGAAAUCUGGCAUCCCAAAGCAUCUGGAAGGGUCAGAUGACCGAAGGCUGCCCUUCUAAAGGGAUGAGGUUGACGUCCGACCGAGGCUUACGGAAAGUGGCGCUGCGGAAGGGCUUCUCUGUUUAUUAGUUACAAUGAUACCUUGAAAGGCAGCCUGGGUCAGCCCUCGCCCCGGGGAAGACGAUUAACGAGCUAGCUGUGUCUCUUCGCCCCCCCCCCCCCUUUCCGUCAACUCCCUGUUUUGCAGAGAGGUUCUCCCCAUUCAUUCAUCUAGUUGCGGGCUUUCAAUUAUUCACAAGCACGAGCCCUUCUCCCUGAGAGAUCUCCUCUUUGGAACGGCGGAGAUUUUUCUUUUUCUUCCUUUCCUUUUCUUGGCCACCUUUCUUUUAAGCCAACUGCGAGUGCCAACGUUUAACUUUUCGUGGGGCGGAGGCGGGAGAAGGUGCGCUUCUCGGUAACGCCAGGUGGCUGAAGGUAUCUGUGGGCUGCCUGCGAUUCUCUUCGCCGCCAGGGCACGUGGCGCCCUGCGCCUUAGUCCGUAAUUAACCCAAGGUUUAUUGGUUGGCCCUGAGUUUAAAUCUCCGGACGUUUCCUUUCCCGCCCUUUGGGAAACGCGGGGCUCAACCAGGGGAAAUCAGAAAGCCAGCGAAGUGUUGCAGUCGGCCGCAAAGUGAAGUAAGAAAAGAACUAGACCCACAUCAUCCGGGCCAUUUUUAGUUCAAAAUGCACUGAUUUCGCUUUAUGGGCUUUACACCUUAAAAGGUGCAUAGCCACCAGGUGCUUUGGAAAGGGUUAAGGUUAUGAGUAUGAAGUGGGAGUAGAAUGUUGUUAAAAACUGGGGUUGUCUCUUUACUAGCUGGAUGGCCCUGUCUUCUAAGGUGAUCAAUGCUGCAAAUACCUGCAUGGCGGAAAUAUCUCCCAUCUGCUUGAUUGUCUUAUCUAUACUGUAUUUAAUUGGAUCUCAUUCUGGGAACCCUUGAUAAAUUAUAUGCAUACAGUUCUUGGUGCUGCUUUGCAGUAGGCUUCUGUUUAGAAGCCAAAACUGUUUUAGGCUUCUGUUACAGGAUGCUUAGUGAAUAAUGGCUAUUCCCGGAACACCAAGUGAUAUAAACCAGCCAUCCCCACUCUUGAAGACGCACCCCAAGCCAUGUUAUCCAUGGGCACCUUGAAUGCACUCAGAUUUUCACCUGCAAGUGCCUGUUUUCCUGGAUGCAAUAUUCCCUCUCUUAGUAUCACUGAUUGCCAGGAUUUUGGACCGCUUAUUAACAAUUCAGAAGCACUGGUUCUCCAGAACCUGCUGGAUUUCCUCUUUCCUAGGGCUGAGAGUGCGUGACUGGCCCAAAGUCCCUCAGCUGGCUUCAUGCCUAAGAUUACUUGCAAAGUUAAUUGUCUCCAGUUUGAAUGUCAUUAAUGAACUAAAGCAAUGAACAAAUAAGAAAAGCAUUUCAAAAGUUCACAGAAAAGCAACACAUCCAAGAAGACAAGAGAUGGACCCUAUGUCUUCUACCAUCAACCAGGGCUACUCUCUCCAGGGACAAAUACUGUAUCACAAUAUGAGGAAGACCCUUUGUCCAAAUGAUAUGACAGCAGAUUCUGAAAUGUAGGUACUGGUCCUAUACUUAUACCUGGGGAUUUCCUAAAGUCCGUGUUGCAUUGCAAUUGUGAGUUAGAAGGUCAUCUUGCAGCCUCAUUCUUCUUAUAAAAUAAUGUCACUCUUAACCAUCCUCUUCUACCACAUUAUAGUUUGGCUCCAAAUUUUGAGAUGCUACAUCGAUUGUUUCUAAGAAAGGACACCAUAACAAAGAUGGGGCAUUCCCAGAGUAUUACCAUCAGGUGAAAGAAGAGCAAGAAGAAAGCUAUUGGUAAUCUUCCACCAUCUCUCCCUCUAUUUGGUUCCAGUAGUCUUCAAUUUAACCUACUCCAUAGGCUUAUGUAAUGAUAAAAUAGAACAAGCAAUAUUAUUUCAAUUGGCUUGAGAUGUGGAAGGAAUGAUGGGAUACAAAUGCAGCAAGUAAAGCAAACAUUCUCCUUUCUAUUCCUAGUAUUCCACAUAAUAUUCCAUUUUUAGCAUCCCAUGGUAACCAGCUGUUACUCUCUGGUCACUGGAUAUAGCCAUUCCCUGUCAAAUUGUUUGAACAACUAGUCUUUCUCUGAAAAAUUCUGCUGUCUUUGUUCAAGUCUUGAAGUUACACCACCCUACAAAAUAUAUGUGUGUGUGUGAGAGAGAAUAAUCAUUGUCUAUAUCACGCUCCACAAUUUUAGCACUUUCUUGAUGUAUGAACUUCAGUUCCCAACAUUUCCAAUUUAACAUGGUCAUUGCCAACAAUUCUGGGAAUUGAGGCUCAUAUAUAUGAAGGUUGGGAAGUUGAUCUUUAUCUAAUAAGAUGAUUAUCUUAUCAAAGACUUUGUUUCAUGUUUAUCAAAUUAUUCAUCCUAUAUGCCUUCUUGUAAAAUAUAUUGAAAAGAGGUUUCCAUACUGCCUCUUCUGUUCAUACCUGUGGCCAACUUUCAUCAGCAUUAACAUGCCACUUAUCCAGGUCUACAGUUCACAAUGCUUGGAAGUUUUUCAUUCCAUCAGAUUUCAACUAAUACUUUUCUUACCUACUGUGCUACGUAGAUAUUUUAAACAACAAGUUGCCAUGAGCACUGCCAUGUGAUUAGGGGUUCUGGGAAUUGUUCAACACAUCAGAAAGAAAAUAAUUUAGAGAAAGUUCCCUUAAGCUUCUUUCUCAUUGAAAAUGUUCACAGCUAUACAGCAUGUAGCUUUUAAAAAUUAUCUGAUUUCUUCCUAUACCUGAUUGGUCUGCAAUAUACAGGGUUCUGCCAUCUAAGGAUAAAAAUUUAGUGUGCAGUUGUUACAGGAAAUGUGGAUUCACUAGGAACAGCUAGCAUUAUUUCUGUAUUUUCUUAGCUAUUGCUAAUAUAUUUUAAGGCCCAAGCCAGACAUGAUAGGACACAUAGCUACUAAUUAAUGCCGCCUAAAAUGAAGAAAAUCUGGGGAAAGACCUUGUUUGAUGCAAUGCCAUAAUUUCUCUAUAAGUAACAAAAAUGAACACAACAACGAGUGGAGAAACUCUGAGUGAAAUGACAUCAUAUUCUAGCUAAUUUUUCACUAGAUGCUACCAAGAAACAUGAGUCAGAGACAGAGGUCAGUAGCAGUCACAUAUCUUAUUUAGUUCUUUAUCCAUGAGUGUAGGAUACUAAUAGACUGUGGGUAAGUGCAGUUCUUUACAACAGAAUGCUAGCAGAUCUAACGUUGAAAUAGCUGUAUUCCUCUGUUCUUAUAUUUGAUUGCUCUAAGGCAUAUCAAGUUUAUUGACAAGUUACCAUACAAGUAACCUUAGUUACCAGGUAGUCUCUAGGAGAUGAAACUUUAGGACAAAGGACGUAAAUAGGUUUUUCUUAAUAAAGGAUGUGGUUGGUUCUUUUGUAUUUGUUUGAUGAGAAUAUACAGACCUAGAAAGUAAUUUUGGUUGCUGCUAUUAAUCAUGAAAAUAACUGCAUCAGAAUGAUUUUUAGGAGUCUGAAAUCUGACCGAGCAAAGCAACCUAAAAUAUAAUUAAAACAAUUGAUUGCUCCA